CUGUUGUAUAAAAGAAGAGCAAGUAAGCACGCCCCUUGACAAGUACAGAAGAGGCUCUUGGGCCUAACAACACACAUAUGGUUAAGGCAUUGCCACCAAUGGCCUUAACCAUGUGUGGUU